GUGUGUGUGUGUGUGUGUGUGUGUGUGUGUAGUGAAACAUAGAAAAUAGAUUAUUUUAAUUGCUAAUUGUACUUGAGACCCCUACCAAGAUAUUUUUAAAAAUGUGGCCUAAAUGUUCUCCUCAACAGGCGCAGUGAAGGAAUUACAGUUUAUUCAGAGGCUGACGUGCAGCUGCUGAUUGGAGUACAAAGAGCAGUAAUCAAGGAUAUGACUCCACUGUAAGUUUAGGAACAUCUUCCCUGGCAAAUAGGAGCCCUACAUUUCUACUUCUGGAAGUAACAGCCAAGACCCUCCCAGAGGACUCAGCUCCUGCAGAACAACCACAAAAUCUGAACAGGACACAGAAGCAACUACCCGCAGCGCUGGGGAACAGCAGGGGCAGAUGGCUUUGCAGAGGUGGCGAACCUGUGUAAGACCGAGGGCCUUACCAAACGCUCUGAGGAGCUGACUGCAGGGAAGAACACCUGGGAAGGAACACACCGGACAAGUUGGAAAGUAAAACAGACCUUAGUCUGGCCAGACUGCACUCCCAAAGCAAAGUAGCUUAGAGAGGCGACUAGCCCAGAGUCCAAGGCUCUUUUUUGCAGGGGAAGUUAACAGGCGAAAUUUACAGAAGAGGAACAAAGGUUAGUGGUCAGCUGACACGUACUGAUGGUCAGCAGAUGUUUGUAGAUUGUUCUAUAGAUAGCGGUGUCCGGAACAUCAGUUUCGAACAAAGAGUUGAGUAAUUUACUUUGGGACCUUAUGGCUGAUACAGAUCUUAUCUAGUGUCCUGGAACUAACAAGCAUCUUUAUCUAUUUACUCACAUUUACAGUUGGGGCUAGGGGAGUUUUAUGAUUACAGAGUUAUGCAGUCCCCCACCUGUGGCACGCAUGCCACAGUGGGCCAUGUGUUAUUACCAAAAGCUCUAAAAGGUUCACCAUCACUGGCUCCUAGUGAAGACCGUGAGCUGUCGGGAGGGAGAGGAGGGUCACAACUCAGUCAGUCCCCAUGCCCAGGUCUUAGCUGGAGGCCAAGAGAAGCCUGCACUCGGUGCACACGGCAAUACCAGGGACAGACACGAAAAACACCUGCAGCCUGAUUUUUUCUGAAAAAUCAGAAAAGUGGACACUUAAAAGAGAAAGAGACGCUUACAAGGGGAAAAGAGAGAAGAUCCCAACUCAGCCUUCCCACGUCUCUGACUGAACCCUGACCCAAGUACCAUGGAGCAGACACAAAAUGGCUCAGCUGAAGACAGCAGCAACCACAGAAAUUCCAAACCGAGACUUCCAUCCAAGAAAAAGAGUGUGCGUUCAGGUCGAGCGGAGACUGAUAUCUGCUAACACAGAGGAAAAAGACUCCUUAGAGAAAAGAAAAAUCCAGAAUCUCCACAAACUAACUUUCAUAAUACUCAGGACACAAUCCAAAAUUACACGAUAUGGAAAAAAAAAAACUAGGAAACAUUCUUAACAGAAAAAAAUUCAACCAAGCCCAACCUUAUAAUGAACCAGAUGUUGGACCUAACAGAAAAGGAUUUUGAAUUUGCUCUUCUAACUCCCCUCAGGGAAAGAGCACAACCAUGAUUUCAAGGACUACAAACACCAGCAGAGAAAUGAAAGUCUGAACAAGGAAACAGAAACAGCAAAGAGGAAACAAAUAGAAACAAAGAACCAAACUUAAAAAAAUACAAUUUCGUAAAUAAGAAUUCACUUACUAGACUAAAAACUGAAUGACUGUGAUGGAUG
rnacentral:lncRNA from 1 species